rnacentral:rRNA from 1 species
GCAACUCGCCUACAUGAAGUUGGAAUCGCUAGUAAUCGCGAAUCAGAAUGUCGCGGUGAAUACGUUCCCGGGUCUUGUACACACCGCCCGUCACACCACGAGAGUUUACAACACCCGAAGUCAGUGGCCUAACCGCAAGGAGGGAGCUGCCUAAGGGUGGGGUAGAUGAUUGGGGUGAAGUCGUAACAAGGUACC